rfam:Rattus norvegicus chromosome 10, whole genome shotgun sequence.
GGGGAUUUAGCUCAGUGGUAGAGCACUUGCCUAGCAAGCGCAAGGCCCUGGGUUCGGACCCCAGCUCUG